UCUAAGUAUAAGCAAUCAUACUGUGAAACUGCGAAUGGCUCAUUAAAUCAGUUAUCGUUUAUUUGAUAGUACCUUUACCUGGAUAACCUUGGUAAUUCUAGAGCUAAUACAUGCUAAAAACCCCGACUUCGGAAGGGGUGUAUUUAUUAGAUAAAAAACCAAUGCCCUUCGGGGCUCUUUGGUGAUUCAUAAUAACUUUUCGAAUCGCAUGGCCUUGCGCCGGCGAUGGUUCAUUCAAAUUUCUGCCCUAUCAACUUUCGAUUGUAGGAUAGAGGCCUACAAUGGUCGCAACGGGUAACGGGGAAUUAGGGUUCGACUCCGGAGAGGGAGCCUGAGAAACGGCUACCACAUCCAAGGAAGGCAGCAGGCGCGCAAAUUACCCAAUCCCAACACGGGGAGGUAGUGACAAUAAAUACUGAUACGGGGCUCUUUCGGGUCUCGUAAUUGGAAUGAGUGCAAUCUAAAUCCCUCAACGAGGAACAAUUGGAGGGCAAGUCUGGUGCCAGCAGCCGCGGUAAUUCCAGCUCCAAUAGCGUAUAUUAAAGUUGUUGCCGUUAAAAAGCUCGUAGUUGAACCUUGGACCUGGCUGAUCUGUCCUCCUAAUCGAGCGCACGGAUUCGGUCGGGUCUUUCCUUCUGGGGAGCCCUAUGCCCUUCACUGGGUGUAGUGGGGAACCAGGACUUUUACCUUGAAAAAAUUAGAGUGUUCAAAGCAGGCCUUUGCUCGAAUACAUUAGCAUGGAAUAAUAGAAUAGGACAUCGGUUCUAUUUUGUUGGUUUCUAGGACCGCUGUAAUGAUUAAUAGGGAUAGUCGGGGGCGUCAGUAUUCAAUUGUCAGAGGUGAAAUUCUUGGAUUUAUUGAAGACUAACUACUGCGAAAGCAUUCGCCAAGGAUGUUUUCAUUAAUCAGUGAACGAAAGUUAGGGGAUCGAAGACGAUCAGAUACCGUCGUAGUCUUAACCAUAAACUAUGCCGACUAGGGAUCGGACGGUGGUUUUUUAUGCCCCGUUCGGCACCUUACGAGAAAUCAAAGUUUUUGGGCUCGGGGGGGAGUAUGGUC
rnacentral:rRNA from 1 species